CGUGUAGGCGGUCAGGUAAGUGGAAUGUGGAAUGCCCCGGCUCACCCGGGGACCGGCAUCCCAAACUGCCUGGCUUGAGUAUGGGAGAGGAUGGAGGAAUUCCUGGUGUAGCGGUGAAAUGCGUAGAUAUCAGGAGGAACACCGGUGGCGAAGGCGUCCAUCUGGCCCAAUACUGACGCUGAGGCGCGAAAGCUAGGGGAGCAAACG
rnacentral:rRNA from 1 species